rnacentral:rRNA from 1 species
AUUGAACGCUGGCGGCAGGCCUAACACAUGCAAGUCGAGCGGAUGAAGGGAGCUUGCUCCUGGAUUCAGCGGCGGACGGGUGAGUAAUGCCUAGGAAUCUGCCUGGUAGUGGGGGAUAACGUCCGGAAACGGGCGCUAAUACCGCAUACGUCCUGAGGGAGAAAGUGGGGGAUCUUCGGACCUCACGCUAUCAGAUGAGCCUAGGUCGGAUUAGCUAGUUGGUGGGGUAAAGGCCUACCAAGGCGACGAUCCGUAACUGGUCUGAGAGGAUGAUCAGUCACACUGGAACUGAGACAAGGUCCAGACUCCUACGGGAGGCAGCAGUGGGGAAUAUUGGACAAUGGGCGAAAGCCUGAUCCAGCCAUGCCGCGUGUGUGAAGAAGGUCUUCGGAUUGUAAAGCACUUUAAGUUGGGAGGAAGGGCAGUAAGUUAAUACCUUGCUGUUUUGACGUUACCAACAGAAUAAGCCACGGCUAACUUCGUG